UACAAAGACUUAUACAUUUUAAAUCCUUUAAUAAUAUUGUAUACAAGCAUACGAAUAGAACAUUGAACCAAAUGGCAUCUAAUUUUUUUAUGUAUGUUUUAGAAAUACAGUCCAUUUUAGUAAUACGAGCUGAAAUGGACACAAUCCGCCUAAUUUUGUUUGGAAUCCUACUUUUUGACGAAAUUUUAAACGGACUGACGACCUGGCGAAACCUCAUUAGUUGCCUUUAUGACUGGCAGAAUGGCCGUGGAAGUAUUGUUGUCAUCUAUCCGUGGGGAUAAAAAAAUGUCCAAGUUCAGUUAUAAAAUUUUAUAACGUUAAAAUUUCGAUUUUUUACCGCUUCCUCUUAUAGGAAAAAGGAAAAUUUUUUCACUUUCUAAGGAUAAUCUCGAAAAAUAAACGAUUUGCGAUCUUAUGAUGCAUCAAUAAGCAUGAUUGGUUCACAAGAGCUCAAAAUUUCUAGUGAAAAACAUUAAAAAAAAAUAAUAACUACUUAAAUUAAUAUAACUUGGCAUCGACGAUAAAAUAAUUAACAAUAUUAUUACUUAAUAAAUAAUUACAGAUAACAGUCUAUCGAAUUUAUUUUGUUUCAAUUGUCUGUACAAUCAUGAAUAGAAUACCUUUUCUUGUACUUAGUUUAAUAGAUUAUGUAGAUUGACUCUUUAGAUAUUAAAUAUAAGAUAGCUGUGAAAACUUCUAAUUGGCGACCUAUAAUAUUUUUAAGUUAGAUAAAAUAAUUGACAGAUGUCUCAGACUUUACUCAUCUUCAUACGGUAUUGUCCAAAAAUAAUAAGAAUAGUAGUGGUUAUUGUAAAGUCCUUUAUUAUACUAUAAAUAAAUUGUGGAUGUCUAAAUUUUUAGAAAAAAAUGUCGAAAUUUACCCAUUUUAAAAAUCGUAAUUUUUUAGUGGAUAUCGCCCAUUUACGGGGAACCAGAAGAAAAUUGUCAAUUUUUAAGGGUAAUGUCUUCAACUUGUGAUCUUCUGACGUAUUUUUGAGAAUAUUUGGUUCAGUGAGAGGUGAGAAAAAUUAUUGACAAACAUAAAAAAAAUAAAAAUAUAUUCUUGGAAAAAUUAUUACCUUCUCAUCUUCGCAUCGAAGCAAAAAUUAAUACAAUAUUUAUAUUAUUUUGGGAAAUGUUAUCAAUUCUCAUACAAUAUUUUAUUUGGCAUAACUUAAACAAAUAACAAGAAGAAUUUAAUAAAUGUCUGAGUAAUUAUUUUACGAUGAAAAAUCAUUUAUGAAGGGCAAGGUUAAAAUAUAAUUCGUUAGAAACAAUUUUUUUUAGAAAAAUUGGAAAUGAUAGAUUUGAUAAUGAUUUUUUACAAUUGCCAUCCAGAGCGCAAACUCUGUAAAUAUUAAUUUUUUCAUACUCGUCGAAAAUAGAUAAUUUCAAUAUUUUUAUAAUCAAUUAAAAUCUGUAAAAUCAUGAAAGGUCUAUAAGUAUUUGCGGUGGAGCUGGUGCUUAACUAUGGUUUUAAUACUACAUAAAACAAACGUUCGUCGUUAAUAAAUCAAUAUGAUGGUAUUGCAUAAAAAAGUAAGGCAAGUACACAACCUGUUUUGUUAUCGAUUAUAACACGAUGGAAAUACUUUCAAUAAUGGACACUCACACUAAUAAUCAUUUACUUCUCAGCAACGACAUUGCGUUACACAAAAAACCACAAAAUUGCCUAUAUUUGACCCUUUAAAAAAAGUUGAUACCCAGAUGCCUUAAAGUAAAGUAAUGGAAUA